rnacentral:lncRNA from 1 species
GUUUUGGUGAAUUCGUUCCCCUCACAACAACCGAUGAACCUAAGUUGUCCGAUUCAGUUUGAUAAUUUUGUGGAUUUUAAUAGUAGUACUUGAGUUUGAUCAAGAAAGUUGUAGCUCUACAGUUGAUAAGAGCGUUUAUCUUUACGCCUACAGUUAAUAAGAGCGUUUAUCUUUACGCCCGAUGUCCUCCCUUCAAAUUCACGUCUGCCAAUAUCUCACUUGUAACAAAAGAUUGUGGUAAGAGAUAUUUAUUUAAGACAAUACCUAUUUUAUUCGUUAUAAUCCAAUGAUCAA